rnacentral:lncRNA from 1 species
CCCGCCUCUGACCCCUGACCCCAGGUACACCCGGCUCCUGGGCCUCUGCUGACGCCAGGGCUUUCCAUGGGCCUAACGCGUGCAGGCACGUGAGGUGCAGGCACGUGGGGCUGGGUCUCCACCCCCACGUGUGUGUGCCAGCAGCUGUGUGUGUGGGUUUCCAUGCAGGCUUCUGGACACAGUCUCCCCACGCCUGGGGACAUGCCUGUAGGGUGGCAGCAUAGCACCCCACCCACCUUCACAUUUCUCCACACGGUGCCCCCCGUGCCCCCCCACCCCCACUGACUGGCAGCACACGAUACACAGCCUUGGUCACUGUAACGGCUGCGGCCCUUAGGCCAUUAGUCUGUCCCCCCCCAUCAAGCCCUUCAGGCGACCGCGUCCUUGCGGUAUCAGCCCCGUCCCUCAGCACCCGCGAGCUGGGGCGAGGCCGGCGAGGCACCUGACCGGCGGGAGUGGCUGCCUCGUGCACCACAUGCGUGCAAACAGGGCAGGACAUGGGGCGAGUCCACACGUGUGCACUCCAUCCUGUACAGACACACCACUCAGACACGUACAGACACAGACACCUGCACGUACGAAGGGACACAGGCAGAGACACGCACACGUAUAUACCCGUGCGGGGCCACAUACACAUGCCUGCCGGUGCACACGUACCUGGAUGUAGAGACAUGGAAUCACACAAACUGCACACCUGGACACGGAAGUGUCCAUAAACAGCCCAGUCUGGGCUCCGAAGCCCAGGGGUCAGCGGGUCUGGCCCCCACUCCCUGGUCAGUAGGUGGGGUCCACAGAGCCCCGUGUGUCCUGAGGCUCCUCGCAGCCCUAGAGCGUGGAAUCAACCGAGGACAGAUUAAGCAUGUCUUAAGUCGCUCAACACCGAGGACAGAAGAGGGGCGCCUGACCACUGUGUGUCCUGCCAAGGGGCUCUUUCUCAAGAUGAAAACACAGCAGCUGGUGCCUCCCCCCAAGCCUGCCUCCUGGGAGGUGCAGAAAUUUGUCCAGAAAACACUCCUGGGUGGUGCAGUUACAGGAUUUCAGGCUCCGCUGUAUGAUCGGCUGGAGGUCCAGCCCCAUUCUUGCAAAAGCAGUGGUGCCCGUGUCGCCCGGCCUGCCAGCCCCUUCCCUCUCCUCCAAGCCAGGCAAGAACAGAGUGGUGGUCUUCGCCUUUGGGCUGGGUCUGAAGUGGAGUCUCUUUGUCUCCACUUGCACUUCCCUGAUUAUUAACUAGGCGGGAUCUUUUGAAAAGUUUACUGGCCAUUUGGGUUUUUAUUCUGUGAACUGCCUCUUCAUGUUCUUUGCCCAUUUUCUGCUUGGGUGUGGAUAAUUUUCUUGAUUGUGCAUUGCUUACGUGGCUGGCCUGCUAGUGGUAGCUAUUGGCGUGCAGAAUUUGAAAGUGUUAAUAUCUUCAAGUGCAUUUGUCUUUUUGAUGUGUUUUUCUCGUCUGAAACAUCUUGUCAAACCCUAAGCUAUUAAAUAUUUUCCCAUAUCUAAAAGUUACAAAGCUCUGCUCUUCCCUUUUAAGCCCUAAUUCAUCCGAAAUUUAUUUCCAUGUGUCGUGUGAAGAGCUAGUUUUUCCCAGAAGGGAUAAGCGGUGGUCCCAGCGUGGCUUUCAGCAUCUUCCGUUUCUCCCCACCGGCCUGGGGCGGCCUUGUUCGCAUCCGUGUCCAGGCUGCCCUGCUCCCUGCCCCCACCGCCGCCUCCCGGCACAGCCCUGGCUGUUCUUGGCCCUUCUCUUUCCCAUAUGAAUGCUAAGGGCGGCUUGAACGAUUGCGUCUGGAGUGCAUAAGCAACGAGAACUUGCUGUGGAGCACGGGGAGCUGUAUCCAGUCACUUAGGCUGGAACGCGAUGGAGGACGAUGUGAGAAAAAGAACGUUCGUGUGUGACGGGUCACUUUGCUCGCAGUAGAAAUUGACAGCACUGUAAACCAAGUAUAGUGGAAAGAAUACAAAUCAUUGUUUAAGAGCAAGCCGCUGACAGUUCCUCUCAAACACAGCAGCAGCAGCAGCCCUCCUUGGAACAGUCGUUGGAGGCGAUUGGCUGUGUAGGUGAACGGAAUCCUCCAGCGCGCGCUCCGCAGCCUUCUCUGCCCGUCCUGCAGUUGGAGGGCUGAGCCCCGGCUGUCGCGCCGCUCUGCUGUGAUGCGAAUGCAUCUUUUCUUUCCUUCCUUCCGCGGGUUCUCAGUGUGCGGUCCUGUCUGCACCCGCAGGGCUGGCCUCUCCAGUG